rnacentral:rRNA from 1 species
UACGAGUGGUGCAAGCGUUAUUCGGAAUAAUUGGGCGUAAAGGGUGUGUAGACGGUAUAUUAAGUCAACUGUUAAAUUCUUCGGCCUAACCGGAGGCAAGCGGUAGAAACUGAUAUGCUAGAGGGUGGGAGAGAGAAGUGGAAUUCUCGGAGUAGCGGUAAAAUGCGUAGAUCUCGAGAGGAACACCGAUGGCGAAGGCAGCUUCUUAGUCCAUUCCUGACGUUGAGACACGAAAGCGUGGGGAGCAAACAGG